rnacentral:tRNA from 1 species
GCCUGGGUGGCUCAGUCGGUUGAGUGUCCGACUUCGGCUCAGGUCAUGAUCUCGCAAUCUGUGAGUUCGAGCCCCACAUCGGGCU